AAUGAACGCUGGCGGUAUGCCUAACACAUGCAAGUCGAACGACAGCAUCGGAUCUAGUGGCUCACGGGUGCGUAAAGUGGCGGAAGCUUCCCUUAGGCUCCGGAUUACACCCCGACAUGGGUGCUAAUAUCGGAAAAUUUACUCGGAUACCACAUACAACCUACUUGGGUAGGCCGGCGAUCUUCUGACCUUGUGCUUUGGUAUGAGCCUAUGUUGGAUUAGCUACUUGGCUGGGUAAAAGGCUAGCAAUGCGACAAUCCGUAGCUGGUCUGAGAGGAAGAUCAGACACACUGGGACUGGGACACGGCCCAGACUCCUACGGGAGGCAGCAGUGGGGAAUAUUGGACAAUGGGCGAAAGCCUGAUCCAGCAAUGCCGCGUGAGUGAUGAAGGCCUGAGGGUUGUAAAGCUCUUUUACCCGGGAUGAUAAUGACAGUACCGGGAGAAUAAGCUCCGGCUAACUCCGUG
rnacentral:rRNA from 1 species